rnacentral:lncRNA from 1 species
AUAUUGUACCAUACAAUCUUGUCUUGCACAUUACAUCACACUACAUCAUCCAACAAAGUCAAACAUACAAUCUUGUCUUGCAUAGUACAUUAUCCAACACAAGCUUACAUGAAUGUACACCAAGCAAUAUAUAGUAGUUUGUGUUUGAUAUAUAAUACUAAGGUUGGUGCACACAAUAGAAAAUGAAAAACCAAAAGCACGUCCACCAGGUUGUGGAGAACCAUUUUCCAUGAACUUAAGCCAAACACUUGUUGUGCCUAGCACUUCCUGAAAAAUAUAACAUGUAAUUAGGCAAGUGGAGAAAAUAAUAAAAAGUUGUUGUACAAUAGUAGUGUACUACUAGUGUGUGAGUACGAUCAUCUGUUAAAAAGAAUAUCUCUUCUACUUGCUAGCUAAAUUCUGCUUGCUAGGUUGAGUUGGAGAAAAUAAUAUAAAGCUAUUGUAUAAUAGUAGUGUACUACUGGUGUGUGAGUAGGAUCAUCUUUAAAAGAUUCUCUCUUCUACUUGCUAACUAAAUUCUGCUUGCUAGGUUGAGUCACUUGCUAGGUUGAGGCAGUGGGUUGCCAUGGGCAUAACUCUUCUUGUUUUCAGAAUCAUUCAACAAUUCCAUUUGCCUCAUCCUAGGGAGCACUAGAGAAUUAGUAAAUUUACCACUAGGGAGCACGUAUACUUCUUAUUAGUGGCAAGAUGACUAAAAUAAUUAGGUGCAGAUCAGUCGAGUGCAAAGGCCUCUACCUAGCAGCAUUGUCAUGUUUUUUUAUGAACAUAGCAGCACUGUCAUGUGACAAACAAGAUGACUAAGGCCUAGAAAAAAUGGGCUACUGUUACAUACUAAAUAUCUAACCAGAAACUUUCUUGGCUGGUCAAAACCUUCCACAUUUUUAUAGUAGUACAACAGUAAGUUAAAUCAUUACUUGAGGAUUGUCACUAGGUGCUGAAUUUAGUCAGUAGGUUUUACAGGUGGUCAAGGGACAUACCUGUAGUGCCCUUGAGAGGUGUGCUUGAUGCCUUUUUGUCUUCCCUCUUCUUGCAUUCCUUUAUCUAUCACAUAUAGGAUUAAUUGGAAACAUUGGUCAUGCAUCAGAGGUCGUGGAAAUGAAAAUUCUAUCAAGUCUAGUUUAUUACUUUAUUGAAUGGACUGUCCUCCUACAAUAGUGCUUGGAGUAGUUGAAAGGAUUGUCCCCCUAGCCACUGGUAACUCAGAUCUCAAUAUAGCAUAUAAUAUAACAUCCUUUUUAACCUGAAAUAAAUGAUGCGCCCUAAGAAUGUUAGAACAAGACAUG